AUGGCUAGGGUUUGGCGGAAACGGGGCGAAACCCAGCCGCCACCGCCGCCGCGUACACCCAUCGCCGGUGAGGAUGGCGCUAGCUUCGCACGGGGAAUCCAUCUCCGGGGCGAACACGUUGCGGCUCCGUCCGCCCCUGCGGCCUUGUCCGCCACUGCGGCUUCGUCCGCCACUGCGGCCUCGUCCGCCUCCGCCUUCGCGGCUCCGUCAGCCAGGUCUGUGAAUGUGAGAAGCUAUGCACAGGGGAGGGGAGCUAGCAGGAGCACAAACCCCAAAAUUGCUGCAAGCAGCUACGCAGGUGAAGCAGUUUCGGGGGAGGAGUGCAGUAUUUCGCCCGCAGUAGGAGCACAGUUUGACCUAGGUGGUUCUGUCAGAAAUCCUAGGACUAUAUCCCCAUCACCUUUGUUUGCGAGAACAACAGCAUGGGCAAUAAACUGCUUGUCGUGGAACUGUCGGGGGAUUGGCGGAUCUCGUACAAUUCGUGACCUUGUGUCCCUUAAUCAAGUACAUCAUCCUCACUUUAUAUUCUUAUGUGAGACUAGACAAAACAAAGAGAAAGUCCGGCGACUGUGCAAUCGUCUAGGCUUGAGAGGCAUUGCUGGAGUUAGCAGUGAAGGGUUCAGCGGAGGACUGGCCCUGUUUUGGGAUGAGCACUUUUUU
rnacentral:rRNA from 1 species